rnacentral:rRNA from 1 species
AUACGUAGGGGGCGAGCGUUGUCCGGAAUGAUUGGGCGUAAAGGGCGCGUAGGCGGCGCGGUAAGUCUGGAGUGAAAGUCCUGCUUUCAAGGUGGGAAUUGCUUUGGAUACUGCCGCGCUUGAGUGCAGGAGAGGUUAUCGGAAUUCCAGGUGUAGCGGUGAAAUGCGUAGAGAUCGGGAGGAACACCAGUGGCGAAGGCGGGUAACUGGACUGCAACUGACGCUGAGGCGCGAAAGUGUGGGGAGCAAACAGGAUUAGAUACCCUGGUAGUCCACACUGUAAACGAUGAAUGCUAGGUGUAAGAGGUAUCGACCCCUUUUGUGCCGGAGUCAACACAAUAAGCAUUCCGUCUGGGGAGUACGGCCGCAAGGUUGAAACUCAAAUGAAUUGACGGGG